UACGUAGGGUGCGAGCGUUAAUCGGAAUUACUGGGCGUAAAGCGUGCGCAGGCGGUUUUAUAAGACAGUUGUGAAAUCCCCGGGCUCAACCUGGGAAUUGCAUUUGUGACUGUAUUGCUAGAGUACGGUAGAGGAAGAUGGAAUUCCGCGUGUAGCGGUGAAAUGCGUAGAUAUGCGGAGGAACACCGAUGGCGAAGGCAAUCCCCUGGACCAGUACUGACGCUGAUGCACGAAAGCGUGGGGAGCAAACAGG
rnacentral:rRNA from 1 species